rnacentral:pre_miRNA from 15 species
GCUGCUGUUGGGAGACCCUGGCCUGCACUCUGUCUGUAUGUUUAUUGAAGGGAGCGCAGGGCAGGGUUUCCCAUACAGAGGGC